rnacentral:misc_RNA from 1 species
UACGUAGGCUGCAAGCGUUGUCCGGAAUUAUUGGGCGUAAAGCGCGCGCAGGCGGUCCUUUAAGUCUGAUGUUAAAGCCCACGGCUCAACCGUGGAGGGUCAUUGGAAACUGGAGGACUUGAGUGCCGAAGAGGAAAGUGGAAUUCCAUGUGUAGCGGUGAAAUGCGUAGAGAUGCGGAGGAACACCAGUGGCGAAGGCGACUUUCUGGUCUGUAACUGACGCUGAGGCGCGAAAGCAUGGGGAGCAAACAGG